rnacentral:snRNA from 1 species
AACCUAGAACCCACAAAG